rnacentral:rRNA from 1 species
CCUACGGGAGGCAGCAGUGAGGAAUAUUGGUCAAUGGACGAGAGUCUGAACCAGCCAAGUAGCGUGAAGGAUGACUGCCCUAUGGGUUGUAAACUUCUUUUAUAUGGGAAUAAAAUGUUCCACGUGUGGGAUUUUGUAUGUACCAUAUGAAUAAGGAUCGGCUUACUCCGUGCCAGCAGCCGCGGUAAUACGGAGGAUCCGAGCGUUAUCCGGAUUUAUUGGGUUUAAAGGGAGCGUAGGUGGAUUGUUAAGUCAGUUGUGAAAGUUUGCGGCUCAACCGUAAAAUUGCAGUUGAAACUGGCAGUCUUGAGUACAGUAGAGGUGGGCGGAAUUCGUGGUGUAGCGGUGAAAUGCUUAGAUAUCACGAAGAACUCCGAGUGCGAAGGCAGUUCACUGGACUGCAACUGACACUGAGGCUCGAAAGUGUGGGUAUCAAACAGGAUUAGAUACCCCUGUAGUC